CCUACGGGUGGCAGCAGUCGGGAAUCAUUCACAAUGGGGGAAACCCUGAUGGUGCGACGCCGCGUGAGGGAAUGAAGGUCUUCGGAUUGUAAACCCCUGUCAUGGGGGAGCAAAUUAAAAAGAUAGUACCACAAGAGGAAGAGGCGGCUAACUCUGUGCCAGCAGCCGCGGUAAUACAGAGUUCUCAAGCGUAGUUAGGAAUCACGGGGCGUAAGGCGUGCGAAGUCUGUGUGGUAAGCAGUAUGUGAAAGGAGAGGGCUAAAGCCGAGAACUGCACUUGAUACUGCGAGGCUAGAGUGAUGGAGGGGGGAGCGGAAGUCGAGGUGUAGCGGUGAAAUGAGUAGAUAGCGAGAGGAACAAUGGUGGCGAAGGCGGGUUCCUGGACAUUAACUGACGCUGAGGCACGAAGGCGAGGGGAGCGAAAGGGAUUAGAUACCCGUGUAGUC
rnacentral:rRNA from 1 species